rnacentral:rRNA from 1 species
AACAGGAUUAGAUACCCUGGUAGUCCACGCCGUAAACUAUGGAUGCUAGCUGUUAGAGGUAUCGACCCCUCUAGUAGCGAAGCUAACGCGUUAAGCAUCCCGCCUGUGGAGUACGGUCGCAAGACUAAAACAUAAAGGAAUUGACGGGGACCCGCACAAGCGGUGGAGCGUGUUGUUUAAUUCGAUAGUAAGCGAAGAACCUUACCCAGGCUUGACAUCCUUGGAAUUUCUCCGAAAGGAGAGAGUGCUUUAUUGAGCCAAGUGACAGGUGAUGCAUGGCCGUCGUCAGCUCGUGUCGUGAGAUGUUUGGUUAAGUCCAUCAACGAGCGCAACCCUUGUGAUUAGUUGAAUUUUUCUAAUCAGACUGCCCUGGUAACAGGGAGGAAGGGGGGGAUGAUGUCAGGUCAGUAUUUCCCUUACGUCUGGGGCUACAAACACGCUACAAUGGCCGGUACAAAGGGCUGCCAAGUCGCGAGACGGAGCAAAUCCCAUCAAAGCCGGUCUCAGUUCGGAUAGCAGGCUGAAACUCGCCUGCUUGAAGCUGGAAUCGCUAGUAACGGUAGGUCAGCACACUACCGUGAAUACGUUCCCGGGUCUUGUACACACCGCCCGUCAAACCAUGAAAGUCGCCAAUACCUGACGUGUUGCCCUCGUGCAGCCCUAAGGUAGGGGAGAUGAUUGGGGUUAAGUCGUAACAAGGUAACC